rnacentral:rRNA from 1 species
GACGAACCGAGCGAACGUUGUUCGGAAUCACUGGGCUUAAAGGGCGCGUAGGCGGGUGCUCAAGUCCGUGGUGAAAUCCUCCGGCUCAACCGGAGAACUGCCUCGGAUACUGGGCGUCUCGAGUGUGGUAGGGGUAUGCGGAACUAUCGGUGGAGCGGUGAAAUGCGUUGAUAUCGAUAGGAACUCCGGUGGCGAAGGCGGCAUACUGGACCACCACUGACGCUGAGGAGCGAAAGCGUGGGGGAGCGAACAGG